rnacentral:rRNA from 1 species
AGCAGCCGCGGUAAUUCCAGCUCCAAUAGCGUAUAUUAAAGUUGUUGCGGUUAAAAAGCUCGUAGUUGAAUUUCGGGGUUCUACCGUUGGUCGGGCUUUGUCUGUACUGAUGUGUAGAAUUUCUACCUUCUGGGGGACCAUCAUGUUACUAAUUUAACGUGGUGGGAAACCAGGACCUUUACCUUGAAAAAUUAAGAGUGUUCUAAAGACAGGCUUAUGUCUGAAUACAUUAGCAUGGAAUAAUAGAAUAGGACGGUGGUCCUGUUUUGUUGGUUUCUGAAUCACCGUAAUGAUUAAUAGGAAUAGUUGGGGGCGAUUAGUAUUCAAUUGUCAGAGGUGAAAUUCUUGGAUUUAUUGAAGACUAACUUCUGCGAAAGCAUUUGCCGAGGAUGUUUUCAUUAAUCAAGAACGAAGUUAGGGGAUCGAAGACGAUCAGAUACCGUCGUAGUCUUAACCAUAAACUAUGCCGACUAGGGAUCGGACGAUGUUAAUUUUUCUGACUCGUUCGGCGCCUUACGGG